rnacentral:rRNA from 1 species
ACGGGUGAGUAAUACAUCGGAACGUAUCCUGGAGUGGGGGAUAGCCCGGCGAAAGCCGGAUUAAUACCGCAUACGCUCUGAGGAGGAAAGCGGGGGACCUUCGGGCCUCGCGCUCAGGGGGCGGCCGAUGGCGGAUUAGGUAGUUGGUGGGGUAAAGGCCUACCAAGCCGACGAUCCGUAGCUGGUCUGAGAGGACGACCAGCCACACUGGGACUGAGACACGGCCCAGACUCCUACGGGAGGCAGCAGUGGGGAAUUUUGGACAAUGGGGGCAACCCUGAUCCAGCAAUGCCGCGUGUGUGAAGAAGGCCUUCGGGUUGUAAAGCACUUUUGUCCGGAAAGAAAUCAUCGGGGCCAAUACCCCUGGUGGAUGACGGUACCGGAAGAAUAAGCACCGGCUAACUACGUGCCAGCAGCCGCGGUAAUACGUAGGGUGCGAGCGUUAAUCGGAAUUACUGGGCGUAAAGCGUGCGCAGGCGGUGCUGUAAGACCGAUGUGAAAUCCCCGGGCUUAACCUGGGAACUGCAUUGGUGACUGCAGCGCUGGAGUAUGGCAGAGGGGGGUGGAAUUCCACGU